rnacentral:tRNA from 1 species
GGGGUUAUAGCUCAGUGGUAGAGCUGCAUGCUUAGCAUGCAUGAGGUCCUGGGUUCAGUCCCCAGUACCUCCC